rnacentral:lncRNA from 1 species
UGAGAUACGGACAACAUUCCUCCGUGAAUAGGAGGCCAAGCUCUUUUUUUCCUAUCUAGUGGAAGAGAUUGCAGAACUUCUUUGGAAUAUCCUUCGGUGAUAUUGGAGUCUUAACACCAGAUGCCAGAAGACACAAAUGCUUCUGCUUCAUUUAACACAUAUCUGAAAUGGCACAACCAGGCACAAAAGCUAACAAAGACCUAGAAGCUUAGCCUGCUAGAGAUCCCUCAAAGUUUUUCUAAGGGAAAGACGCAUUUCUUUGUAGCGAAUUUGAGUCCACUAACAAGAGGCAUUCCUGAUCUCAAAGAAUUCAGGCCAACUGGCUUUAGUUGCUGGCAGAUAGAAAGUGAGAACAAAAACGAGGUGUUAAAAAAGUGCCAGGAAAAUCUCCAAGCAGUCCUCAGUGUGAAGAGAUCCAGCUUGUCAGCCAC